GUAGGUGAACCUGCGGAAGGAUCAUUACCGAGUUCAUGCCCUUCGGGGUAGAUCUCCCACCCUUUGUAUACUAUACCUCUGUUGCUUUGGCGGGCCGCCUAGCUACUGGCUUCGGCUGGUAAGUGCCCGCCAGAGGACCCAAAACCCUGAAUAUUAGUGUCGUCUGAGUAAAAAGUUUAAUAUUUAAAACUUUCAACAACGGAUCUCUUGGCUCUG
rnacentral:misc_RNA from 1 species